rnacentral:misc_RNA from 1 species
UCCGGCUUGACGCCGGCAGUCCCCCGAGAGUCCUCAGCUUGACCUGUUAGUAACACGGGGCAAGGGUUGCGCUCGUUGCGGGACUUAACCCAACAUCUCACGACACGAGCUGACAACAGCCAUGCAACACCUUCUCACCAGCUCUCUUGCGAGCACCCCCACAUCUCUGCGGGGUUCCGGUGGAUUUAACCCAGGUAAGGUUCUUCGCGUUGCGUCGAAUUGAACCACAUGCUCCACCGCUUGUGCGGGCCCCCGUCAAUUCCUUUGAGUUUUAGCCUUGCGGCCGUACUCCCCAGGCAGAGUGCUUAAUGCGUUAGCUGCGGCACCGCGGGGGUCAAUACCCACGACACCUAGCACUCAUCAUUUACGGCGUGGACUAC